UUUAUUUAUUUGUGAAUUUCAUUUCUUUUUGUGAAAUUUGUAAAAAUAUUUGUGAAACUCUUUAUAUUUAUUUGUGGAUCAUAGUGUAUUUAUUCAGAAUAAUGAAACAAUUCUGACCCCAUAAUUAACGCCUUUGCAGCCCCGCUCACUUUGGAUUACGGCAUCAUCGUUUUCACCAAGUUUUUUCUAUUUUCUUGGAUUUAACUUCAACCACAGGUCGUCUUCAGUUACUUCGGUAAGAAAACGAUCUAAAUUGGUUUAUUUAUGAACAGUGUUGUGUUGCAGACAGUGAAGGCGCAAAGUUAUAUUAGCUUUAGCUCAAGCACUAACGUUAGCCACCUCAGACUCAAAAACAGCCUUCUAACGCCAGUAGCGGUUGUUUCAGAGACGUCUGGAUUAAUGUAGGCCGUUUUAUAAGUGUAACUCCAUUUUAAGGCUUUAGGUAAAGGCAGCCAGGAUUUUCCAGCUUUUUUUUUAACCUCACAGCUGUGUUUUAUGGAAUAUGUGUUCUUACUGCAUAUGUGGAGAAUCGGUUCAGUCCGUGAAAGCUUAUGUUUUUCAUUUCAUUGUCAGACUGAAUGCCUUAAUUUCAUUGGACCAGUGACCAAACUCUUUGUGUGUCUUAACAGAUAUGGCUGAAUCACAGCUGCUAAAGAACAUAGGGGAUGCGAUAGCAGGAGUGCUUCCGGACCUUCCUGAUCAACUUGUUAAGUCCGUUGAAGAUACUUUGAAAACACUUGGUGCGGCAACCACAGAUGAUUUAAAGUACAUCACAGAAAACGAUUUGCUGCCAGUGUUAAAGCCCAUACAAGCCUGAGGACUGGUUGCUGCCUGGACCCAAAAUAUCUCUGGGACUUCAACACCAAAAUCUGUGCAUUCAUCUCCAGUGGUUGUCUUUCACUCUGCACUCUCAAUUUCUUCUUCACCAGCAUCAUCCACCUCUACAUCAUCUUCAGGAAUCUGUACACCAUUAAUACCAAACUGCUUAGAGCGAUUUGAAAUACCAUGGCAGAGGCUCCCUGAAGAGUUAAUACAGAACUUGGAAAGACCUAGUGCAAGACAACGAAAAGAAAUGGUAAGGAUCAUGGUCUCUGCAAUGAUGAAGAUUUGCAAGAAACUAACCAAACACAACAUAACAGAGAUAGCAAAAAUGAUGGUGGCCAGGUAUGCAAAGUCUCUGCAAGAUGUGAUUGAUGGCGGCGUUAUUGGACCAGGAUAUCAUUCUCUGGUGAAGCAACUUCAGGCAAGAGUUGAAAAUGUCAAGCGACCUGACACACCAAAGGUAAUAAAGCGCAAAGCAGCAUCAGAUGAUGAUGACAGACAAAAUACCUACCGAACAAAAAGCAAGUGUUCAAGACACCUAUGGAUGUAUUAGCUGGGAGCCAAAGCACUCUCAGAGACUGUGGAGAGUCUGCUUGAAAAAAAAAAGAAGAAAUGAAGUUGAUGUUUAAGAAGAAAUACAGUACAGAUGUUGUGAAAGAACUAGUCAAAUGCACCUAUUACACCCAGCAUAAAGACAUCAACAAAGGGACAAGCAUCCAGAAACUAUGCCAGGAAUGACCCUUUCUCUUCAAUGAAGUUGGUAUGCCAGCACAUUUCCAAGAGCUGACUGGUGUGAAUCUGAUGGAAACCUUCUUGCCAAUGUAGACAAAAAAGGGGCAUGUCUGUUAAAGUUCCUGACAUAUGUUGAUGCACAAAAAAGCAAACGAGUCCAGAACGCUCUUCUCAAGCUUCAGACUGAAAGAAGUCAGUCCAGUGGUUGCUCCCAAAAAGUCAUUGAGAUGCUGCUUCUUUUACUGGUUCAUUUUGAUGAGAAGAAAGAGCUUCUGUUCCACUGUGUUGAGACGACAAGCAAUGCAGAGGAUGUUCAGAUGGAGAAAGUGCCACCAACACCCUUCAUUAUUGUUUGUGGUUCCUCCUGCUUCGCUGCUGAGACAUUCAUGUUGAGCAUCGACAAGAAGAUUAUCAAUGACCACAUCACAACCUUCACCUCCAACAGUAAAAUUUGUUUUUAUGGACACCUUUUUUGGAUUUAUCAAACGUAUCAAUUUGAAAUCCCAUCUCCGGUUGUUAAUUUUCUCAAUCUUUCUCUCACUCUUUUUUUUCCCCCCAUAAAGGUGUUUCUUUUCCAUAAAUCCUGAGAGAGGCACCAAGGUUGAAUCCAAGAAGAAAAAAGUGUUGUCAGUCAAUCCCAGAGUCCUCACUCUCAUCUCAGACAUUGCUGACCAUGAGUGGAUCUACUGUAGUACUACCCCUCUUGUUGUGGACAAUGUGAUAAAGGGCUGUUACAAACUCUACAGAUGUUUUUGUUGUUGAAACAAUUGUUACACUUCUGAAUGUCAGUGAAAAGUUUUUAACAAUUUGGAGUUUUACUAAACAAGACUUGUUAAAGUACCUGUUAACUUUUUUGCUUGUUAGUUCAAGAGUUUCUUAGAUUAUAAUUUUCCUACAGUAAUUGUGCAUUCUAAAGAUGUAAAAAGGUGGCUGCAUGUACAUCAUAGCAUUUUGUAAAUCAAAAACGUAUGUAAAGUUCCCAGAAAAGUGCAAAUUAUUUGUUUCAAUUACAUGAUGCAGUUUGAAGAUGUACAGUUUCUGCUUUACUGCACAGUUCUGUGUGUAAAAUAAAGUAAUUUAUUUCUUGAAUUCAGAUUUUAUUGAAAUAGAUAUAUUUUAUUUUCCUAUAACUGCAUUUGCAUAUUUUAAAAUAUGGAACAUUUAAUCUUUUUAACAUUUUUGUAGUUCAAACAGCACCAAUAACACAAAGUUCUUAAUGUAAUGGUGUUUGCAAAUUGUCUGCCACAGUUGAUGUAAAAUAUAAUGUAUGCUUAUAACACUGGUUUUGCACAAUUUGAAGAGAACUCAUUGAGACAGUCCUUGGUGAUUUGAGUGAAAUGUUUUCACAACUUCAUAGAUAGUAAAUAAAAUACAUUAUUUGAAAUAUAAGGUGGACAUUUGUCUUGCAUUUAUAAAUUUUAAUAAAUUAACGCAUUGUGUAUUAAGCUUACAGAAUAGACUGAUUUUAAAGAACUCUUCCUGAAAAAGGUAGCUACUAGGCAGGCUUAAUACUUUACUGGGACUUAAAUUAUUUGUAUGCAUGAAAUGAGGUAGUAGUUGAUCAUUCAUUGUGAAAUAACCAGCAAAAGGUGAUCAUAUUUCAUGUAUUCCAUCAGGUAAACCCUUUCAUAGCUCAUAAGUUUUCCAUGUCAUCUCUAAAUGAUUCUUAAUCAUAAUUAUUAAAAAGGGGAAACUGCAGAGCAUUUUUUUUUAUAAAUUCUGGGAAUUUUUACAGAAUAAAACUGUAUUGUAUUUUGUCAUUUUUGGUUAAUUUUACAGGGAAUAGAUGUGUUUUUUUUGUGGCACAAACUUAAUUUUAUAGGUAGUUUUCUUGUUCAUUUUAAGGAAAAACAUUGUUUUUUCCUAAGGUUAAAACUUUUUCUUUUACAGUAAAACACUGACUCCAGUAACAGAUUUAACCGUAGAAACAACAAUGACAAUGCCUGCCAACCGUAAAAGAAAAUAAUGUUUUAGCCGUCAUUUUACGGUGGAAUUCUGGCAACCCCAGCUGCCAGCGUUUUACCGUAGAAUCUACGUUUUUUUACAGUGUAUGUACAGUAUAAUGGCUGCAGACAUUUGGGUUAGUUGUCCAAAAUUAAAACUAAAAGAAAAAAGAAAAUUGUUUAAAAAAAUAGAUUCCAAACUAGAUUCGGAAAUAAUAUGUACCUGUUACGGGUCGCCGUGCGACCACUAGGGGAUGACCCAGAAACAAGCUUCAUUUCAUCUUUAAAGCACCAAAUCCUCUAAAAACACGAAAAAACCUAUUUACCUAGUAAAGUUUAUACUCUCAAUAUUUUUUUAAGCCCA